rnacentral:rRNA from 1 species
CCUACGGGCGGCAGCAGUAGGGAAUCUUCCACAAUGGACGAAAGUCUGAUGGAGCAACGCCGCGUGAGUGAAGAAGGUUUUCGGCUCGGAAAGCUCUGUUUGUAGUGGAGAAAGGUAGAGGUAGUAACUGGCCUUUAGUGGACGUGAAUUACUUAGAAAGUCACGGCUAACUACGUGCCAGCAGCCGCGGUAAUACGUAGGUGGCAAGCGUUGUCCGGUUUUAUUGGGCGUAAAGCGAGUGCAGGCGGUUCAUUAAGUCUGAUGUGAAAGCCUUCGGCUCAACCGGAGAAUUGCAUCAGAAACUGGUGACCUUGAGUGCAGAAGAGGAGAGUGGAACUCAAUGUGUAGCGGUGGAAUGUGUAGAUAUAUGGAAGAACACCAGUGGCGAAGGCGGCUCUCUGGUCUGCAACUGACGCUGAGGCUCGAAAGCAUGGGUAGCGAACAGGAUUAGAUACCCGGGUAGUC